GUUCACUUAUUGGAAACAUUCGUUGUCUUACUCAAUGGUUCGGUAUCUACUAUGAAUACUUUGUGUUCUCUCAGGACAUAUAAAUGCACUUUCAAGCCUAUUUGUUCUUUAGGGAAAUCAAUAUUAAAAAUCGGAAGACUUAUUUUUCAAUCACCAAGUCUAAAAACAGCAGGCUUUUCAAGUUUUUUAAAAAGUCUUAAAAGCUUUUUUCUUCUUGUCGAUAAGCUUACUCUUGAGGAGUUGUCAUCGUGUUAUCGUUUCCCUAUAAUAUGUGAUAAAAACUGCAAAGAAAUAUUUUCUUUAUAUAUUACAACAGAAUCCGACAUAGACCAAAAGAUGUUGAUUUAUGAAAUUUUUUCCAUUG